CACGUAGUUAGCCGUGGCUUUCUGAUUAGGUACCGUCAAGACGUGCACAGUUACUUACACAUUUGUUCUUCCCUAAUAACAGAGUUUUACGAUCCGAAGGCCUUCAUCACUCACGCGGCGUUGCUCCGUCAGGCUUUCGCCCAUUGCGGAAGAUUCCCUACUGCUGCCUCCCGUAGGAGUCUGGACCGUGUCUCAGUUCCAGUGUGGCCGAUCACCCUCUCAGGUCGGCUACGUAUCGUUGCCUUGGUAAGCCAUUACCCCACCAACUAGCUAAUACGGCGCGGGUCCAUCUAUAAGUGAUAGUAAAACCAUCUUUCACUUUAGAACCAUGCGGUUCUAAAUAUUAUCCGGCAUUAGCCCCGGUUUCCCGGAGUUAUUCCAGUCUUAUAGGUAGGUUACCCACGUGUUACUCACCCGUCCGCCGCUAACGUCAAAGGAGCAAGCUCCUUAUCUGUUCGCUCGACUUGCAUGUAUUAGGCACGCCGCCAGCGUUCAUCCUGAGCCAGGAUCAAACUCU
rnacentral:rRNA from 1 species